rnacentral:rRNA from 1 species
ACGGGUUAAUAUUCCCGUACUACUGUUAAUUGUGAUGGGGUGACGGAGUGAUGAAAGUACCGCGAACUGACGGAAUAGUUCGUUAAAGCACCUACCUAUAGGUCUUGUAGUUAAAUGCGCAAGACUUGGGGAAAUGCGAUAGUACGCGGAGUCUUCGGACAAAGUGAUAGUGUACCUAAGGGCUUCCAAGAAAAACCUCUAAACUUAGAUUAACAGUACCCGUACCGUAAACCGACACAGGUAGUCGAGGAGAGAAUCCUAAGGUGC